ACUACAAGAUGACAAUAGAUUUUGUCUCUUUCUUCUUCCUAAAAAUUAAUAGCUAUUUUUUUUUUCAAAAAAUUCAGCCAAGAAUAGAAAAAGGGAAAAGAGAUACAACAAAGUUAAGAGAGCAAAGAAGUGACGAUUAAAACUCUUUCAAGAAAGAUACGUGCAUUUCUUUUCUUCCAAUCUCUUCUCUUUUUAUUACAACUCUUACCUUAAAGGUUUAAUCAAAAUCAAAUACCUUUGAAUUAAUCUUAACCAUUCGUUUAAAGUGAUGGAAGCAUCAAACAUGCUCCAUAAUUAUCAAAAUUAAAAUUAAAGAAUAAAUAAUUUAAUUCUUUAAUUAUCAUUUGGAGUUCUUGAUAAAAUAAAACUCUUUGUUGAAUAAUAAUUCUUAUUUUUUUAUCAUUCAUCUUUAUUUAAAAAGAAUUAAUAAUAAAUAAAAGAGUGAUAGUCAAACAUGGAGUCUCUUUUUAUUAACAUGGAUGUCUAAAUUCAUUUCGCAAGAAUUCUCCUAGCAUUAUCUUAAUUUAAGACAACUCUUAUCUUUGAUUAAGACAAAAAUAUGUUAUCUUGUCAAAAUUAAGGCAAAUAUGUUUUCUUGUCCAAAUUAAGACAAAAACAUAUUUUUCUUGUCCUAAAUUAAAACAAAAAUAUUUGCUUGUCUAAAUUAAGACAAAACAUGUUUGCUUGUCUAAAUUAAGAUAAACAUGUUUCCUUGUCUAAAUUAAGACAUAACAUGCUUUCUUGUCUAAAUUAAGACAAACAAGUUUUCUUGUCUAAAUUAAGACAAACAAUUUCCUUGUCUAAAUUAAGACAUAACAUGCUUUCUUGUCUAAAUUAAGACAAACAAGUUUUCUUGUCUAAAUUAAGACAAAACAUGCUUUCUUGUUCAAAUUAAGACAAACAUUUCAAAACUUCCAUUUUUGUAUACAAUUUAAUUAAUCAAAUAAAAAAUGCAUUCNUUUCUUGUUCAAAUUAAGACAAACAUUUCAAAACUUCCAUUUUUGUAUACAAUUUAAUUAAUCAAAUAAAACAUGCAUUCCAACUUAAACAAGUUGAAUUCUACGAAGCUAAGUGGGGAAUCUAUUUGGACAUAGAUAUUCCAACUUUCAAUAAACUUAGAAUUAUUCUUAAUCUCAUUAACUUAAUUCAAGCUUAUUAACCAUAAAAUCACUCCACCAUAGACUUAUGAUUGCACUCUUGGAUUAAUUAUAAUUUUAAAAAAUGAUUCAAUCAUUUAUAUUAAUUAUUAGUUUUACAAUUGCAAACCUUAUAUUGUGAACCAUCACAACCAUCCAAUGACAAAAGGUGAAAUUACCGUUUUACCUUUCAUGUCAAUUGGUCCCCUAGUCUCAAAUUUCAUCCAAUUAGUUAUUCAAUACUCUAGAUCUAAUCAUUUAACAAUCCAGAUGUGAUGAGUAGCUAAUACAUCAAUCCAUUGGGCCCAAAUUAAUCACCAAUCUUCUUGAAAUCACUAAAAGUGAUGUUAAUGCUAUGAACUCUAUUAUUUGGAUCUAUAUUCCCAAAUGUUCAUCUCGAUUAUAAUCCCAACAUACAGAGUCUAGAUCAAUGCUUUAUGAUGAUCAUGCUCAUGGUAUAUCAAAGAUUAUAAGGAGAUUGAACACGAGUCUAUUAUCCAUCAAGAUUUCAGUUCUACUAUAAGCAAAUGCACAAGUGAAAGAUCAAGAUUUAAGUAACGACUAAACUUAAAUUUGAUUCUCACAUGAUUCUAGUUCAUGUUAUUGUGUCAUUACUCGAAAUCAACUAUUUCGAUGAUUUAAGACUAAUCAUUCUCUUGAAGUGAAUCACAUUCAUUUCAUUGUAAGUAAUCUGGACACUAUAGCCUUAACGCAAUAAAGUGACCAGCUUUAUUAUAUGACUAUGAACAAUCUUUAGAUUCAAUUAAAAUACAUGUCUCUUAUGUAUGACUCUUCAUACAAAUGUAUUUUAAUAUCCCAAUAGAAUCAUGGUACCUUAAUAACUAGAUAAUGAAUGCUUACUUAAAACAAACUCUUCGUCUUAUUAUCAAAAUGUACUUUCAUUACAAAUAAAUUAAAUGAAAUUAAACAUGAGAAUCUGUUUGCUUUCUAAGGCACCAUAUUCUUAAAAUUCCUAACAAGCAAAGUCAACUCCAAGUUAAUAAGUCAACAUGCUAAUUCUGAAGAUAAAAGAACCGACUUCUAAAGAAGAAGAAUCGAUUCUUGGAGCACUAAAGAUAAUAUUUAGAAAUUGGAGAUCAAGAAAGAGAGAUGACAUAUUGAUAAAGCCAAGAAGUCGACAUAUUGAUUCUGAAGAUCAAAGAACUGACUUUUGGAGAAAGAGAAACUAUUCUUAGAGCACUAAAGAUAAAAUUCAAAACCUUGUAGAUUAAAAAAGAGAGUGGACAUAAAGAUAAGAUUGGAGUGACAAUGUUCAAAUUUGAAAUUCAAAUUUGGCACCAGACUACACAAAAAAUCGACCUCUUAGGAAGGAAGAAUCAAUUUUCAAGAAACAAAAAGUUGGGACUUUUGGGAAUGAUAUGAAGAAUCGACACUUCAAGGAUAAAGCAUCUAUUUUCUCUAGUUCUAGACUUUAAGAAAGAAUUGACACUAAAAAUGGAAAAAUUUAUUUUUCAAGUACAAUAGAAAAUAUCCAACUAGCAACGUUCAGAAAUUGAUCCAAAUUUACCCUAACAAGUAAAUCUCCUCAAGGCUUAUAAAUACCCCAAAGAAGGACACCAAAAGGAAUGAGAAGAAAAGCAGAAAAGAAGAGAAAAAUCCUUCCCUUAGAAAAAGGCACUAAAAUUAGAGAAAAGCUCUAAGAUCCUUUCUUUAAAUAGAAAGUGAGUAGAAAACUUAAAAAGAUAAUUCCUUUCCUCACCUCUGAAACUUUCUGAGCAGAAAUGUCCUUUCAUCACUUCAUAUAUCUCAGAAAGUUUCAUCUUUUUGCACCUAAAUAGCUCAUUAGCCUUGUUAGAGGUCAAAAACUGAAACCUUUGUAAUCUAUAUUGUUUCUAGUUAUACCUCCAAGCAAAAGGUAGUGUAAAGGUUAUACCUCCUUGAAAAGGUAGUGAAGGUUAUACGUCCUCUAAAAAAGGUGGUAAUGGUUAUACCUUCGAGUAAAAGGUAGUGAGGUUAAGCUUGCUCCCCUUGAAAAGGCAUUGUAGAGGUUAUGCUUUCUCCUCUCGAAAAGGCAGUGUUUGUGUGAAGGUUAUGAUGAUAACUCUAUGAUAUAGAGUUAUUUAGGUUUAAUUUUGAUAGUAAUUUAGCUUAGUUCUUAUUGUAAUGCAUAGAAAUUAGUAGGUUUUAUUUAAAUAAUUUUAAGUUAAUUAAUUUAGGUGAGUCAAUCUAAUCUUAGUUAAUUUUAUGCUUAAUUUCAUGUUAAUGUGAUUAAGAUAGGUUGUUAUUGAAUUAGUUGUGAUUUUGUAGGUGUUUAAUGAAGGAAGACUUUUAAUGGAAGAAAGAGAGCAAUUUUGAGGUGUAGACUUCCAUUGCAUAUAUUUCGGUAUUUUAAUCAUAACUCUCUAUACAGAACUUCAAAUGAGAUUAUUCUUAGACCAUUGGAAAGCUAAGAAUUUUAAUCAUGAAAGCUACAACUUUCAUGUUUACCACUUUGCCCAGUUUGCCUUAGAAAUUGGUCAAAAAUCUUGUUGAAUUUGAAGCACUACACUAGUCUUAGAGCAAUUACGAUUUCUGUUCAUUAAUUGGUGGAGGCCACGACUUCGGUGGCAGUAGGCCAUGCCCACGUAAUCUGAUGAGGAAAGUCUAGUUGGAGUUGAAUUCUUUCUUCACCCAACUUGGCCUAACUUCAAAGCCUUAUAAAAACAACAUUUUGGAGGACUUUUAGAAAAAAACAAAACGUCAACUUAAAAGCUGAGAAUCAAGCCACAAAGUCAUUGAAGCUGAGAAGAAUUUGAAGGAUUCAAGAAGAUUUGGACGAUCAAGAUUAUAAUUCCUCGGUUUCAUCAUCUUUUUGUUAUUAUUUUUUUUGUUUAAUUUGAAUGUUUAAACCUAAUUUGAUGAUGAUGUGUGACUUGAUGAAGAACUAAGUUAUUUACCUAAGAUUAUGGUUGAACUCAAUACGUAGUCUAAUUUAUUUAUCUCUCUUUUGCUUAUGGUUGAUGGGUUUAAGUUAUUUAUUCUAUUUAUUCUUAAUGCUUCUAGUUGAUUGGGCACCAAUUAGAUUGAAUUGGAAACCUAGGUUAAACCUUGACGAAAGAGAUUUUGGUAGACUGUGAAUAGAAUAGCAUAUGAUCGAAUACACUUAGUUGAUUAGAUGGUUUGAUUUACCUACACCUAUAAACCAUACGUAGCCAAAAUUAGAGCACGAACUUAAUGAAUAUUUCUUCAAUUUAAUUUGCAUAAACAUAUAGUAAGUUAAUUGGAAGAGAAAAUUUUAUGGGAAACUUGACAUAGACUUGUAAAUAAUUUAGGACUCUAGGUUAGCAACUUAAUCCAUUAAGCUAAGUUAAGAGAGAGAGAGAGAGAGACAAUAAUCAGAUGAAGUUUUGAGGGACAUCAUAAUCUUAGGUCUAAAAGUCAAUCAAAUCUAAAAAAUUAAUUUUCCUGAGUAAAUUUAAAGUGGUUUUAGUUUUUAUGUUUUGCUUUUUAAUUCAAAUUUUAGUGUUUGGACAAAAUUAAGGUGUGUAAUUUUAGUAAUUAAUAGUAAGAAUUAAUUCAAUUCCUUGUGGGAUCGACACUUCACUUAUCAUUUUAUUAUCUUUACAAUACAUAUACUUGCGUGGGUAGUAAAUUGAACAACAUAUGCCUACUCCUUGAAAGGUACGUAGUUCAUAAUGGUUUCAAACUCCUUGUACUAUUAAGGGAGAAGACGUAGACAUUAAAUGUCGAACCUCUAUAAAAUCAUGUCUAAGUCUCAUUAUUUUCUGCACUUUAUUUGUUUAUCUCAUACUUUUUUUUUAUUACUUUGCUCUUUAAGCUCCUACAUUAGAUUUGAAUCAAAAAAGUAAAUUUUUUAUUUAGUAACCAAUUCAACCCCCCUCUUAGUUCUUUACUUUAAGCUUGUUUCAUCUAACAUGAGAAAUUAAAAUGUGAAAGACAAUCUCCUUGAAGUGUGUAGACAAUUCUGCCCAUAAUAUUGGACUUAACUAUAGAGAGGUUGAUAACUCUAUGUUAUAGAGUUAUUUUGUCAUAUUUUGAGUAUUAAAUUAGCUAAGUUCUUAAGAUUUAGUUUAGAAAUUAGAUAUUUUUAGCUAUUUGUCUUAGUUUAGUAAAUCAUGUUGGGUCAAUUUAAUUUAAGUUGUUUAUUUUAGUUUGAUGAUAAUUUGCUCUUAGUUUAGUUUUUAUUAAUUAGUUUGUUGCUUUUGUAGGUAUGCAAAUAAAAAAGGCUUCAAUCGUUAAAGAAAAGUGCAUAAAAGGUAUAUUUUAAGCAUAACUCUCAUUCUAGGAGUCCAAUUGACAUGAUUAUUGAUCCAAUGGAAAGCUAAGAGAUAAGGCUACAAAUUUUAUGUUUACUACUUUGCCCAAUUCAGCCUAAAAGAAGGAGAAAAUUGCAUCACAAAUUGAAGUAGUGUAGUAAAGCAAAGAAGACAAGAUAAACCUUAGGCGUCGAAGCCAUGGAUGCAUGGGUGCCGCAGCACCGUGAAUAAAAAAGUUACACAGGCCAAGACAAAGAGCCCUCAGCAUCGCAGCACCAACACGAUAUCUCAAGUAAAGAAAAAUCCUUGAGUUUAAUUUGAGUAGGAUUUUGAGCCUUAUUUAAAGACCUCUUUAGAGCACUUGAAGGCAACAAUUAAGUCAGGUUUUCUCUGAAGAAAAAGAGCCAUCACGCAAAACAGAAAACAAGGAAAAACUCUUGAAGAUUGGAGUUCGAAGACUUGACAAAUCUUAGUUUUUUUUUUCUUCUUUUCUUUUCUUUUUUUUUUUGUAACACCCUGUACCUUGGUAUAGUAGCCCAUAUGACCUUAUCGAUAAGACGAAGGUCAAUUGAAACUAAUUUAAGUGCUAAAGAGUGGUGACAGGUGAAAAGAAUAUUUUGAAAUAAAAUAUUUUGUAUGUAAGAAAAUAAUAAUACUUUAUUAUUAACGAAGUUAAAAGGCUAUUUGGAAGGGAAACUGAGGCAAAGUAAGAUACUUUGAAACCUGAAAAGGUAAGUGGAAAUUUUUUAAAUAAAAUAAUAAUAAAAUAAAUUUGAUGCAAGAAUGGGUUGCAUCAUGUGAGAGAUACAUUAAGUCUAAGUGGAGGAGACAAAGAAAUAGCAUUAUUGGAUCUAAUAAAUAAAAUAAUAUUUUAUUCAUUUAUAUAAUAUAAUAUUAUAUUAUAUUUUAUUAUUUAAAUAGUGAAAUUUUUGGUGGCAUGUAAGUGUGAAUGAAGUGGAAUUAAUUAGCCAAGUAAAUGAGCUUGUGUGGGAGAAUAGAAAAAUGCAUGUGAGGUUACUAUUACUUGUAAAUGAUUACAUGCAAAGAUGUGACUUAAUUGAAGAAUAUGUGGGACCCCUGCCAUGUGACAAAUAAUGACUAAGAAAAAGGGUAAGAACAAAGUGACAAAAAGGUCAAUGUCAUGUAUGGAAAAAGGGUAGAAAGAAAGAUAUAAUGCAUGUAAGACAAGUGUAUAUGGUGGCUUAUGCAUGAGAAAUAAAUAGUGUCAAGGAAGCAUGGUAAAUAUUGCAUGAUGGACACAUGGCGGCAAAGAAGAAGAAAAGAAAAGAAAAUAUAGUUGCAUGUAAUGUCAUUGGCCAAGGAGAAGGCCAAAUAAGGUGAAGAAAAGAAAGAUUGCAUGAAUUGUUAUUGGCUCAAGGGAUGGCCAAAUAAAUUUAAAAAAAAAAGAAAAGAAUUGAAGGUUAUAGGGAAUCAAGGGUGGCGGUUGGAUAAGGAGGAUAAAAGUAAAUAUGUCACGACCCGGAACUCCCCUCGAGCCCGUGACAAUCACUGCGGUGCUCCGAUGGGCACUCAUCUCCCGGAAUGCCAACCAGAACCCCGCAAGGCUUAAUAUCAGUUUCUCAUUUUCCUCGAUGAGUAACUAUUGCCAAAUAUUAUUUUCUAAAGGAUUUUGAGCCAUUUCCAACUUAAAACUGAUAAAAUAAAAUUUUUGUCUCACAGAGACAUUUUCCACUGAAAUUUUCGAAACUAGUAAAAAAAAUGUAGUAAACAAGUACCAAUCGCAUAAUUCAUAUUCAAAAAUAAGUUUAAGCAUCUAAAACCUUUAUUUAAAAUGAAUUUAUAAUUAUUUGAAUAUAAUAAGAAGAUAAAACAAAAUAUUUUAUAAAAUAUUUUAUUUUCUUAUAAACAGUAAUUUUAGAGUUAUACGUAAAUACUUUUUGUAACGUAAAAAUAAAAUAAAUUCAUUCAUAUUGUAGCACAAUAAACUAUUAAAUUUACAAUAUCAAGUGGACCCACAAUAACUAGAAUUCAAGAAGUUGUGAACCUACAGUUUUGGAAGACGCAAUCCAAGGAAAAUCCCCGAUGGAACCAGCUUUCUACAGACUACUCUGAUCCUGAAAUGGGUGGAAAGGAAGGUGGUGAGAUUAUAAAAUCCUAGUGAGUAAACAAACACCAUUUAAAUCAGCUAAAGCUGAGUAAAAGGAGACAAUUAAAAUAUCCCAUCACAAUACGUAUUUCACAAUUUGAAAAUUCAUCCCAACCCAUGCAAACGAUUGUAUUUCAUUUAAUUUCUCAUUAAGGCUUAUGAUUUUCAUAAACAUUUGGCUCAUGCCAUCAAAUAGUACUCUGUGACGCCUUGAUCAGAGGUGUACACUCGAGCCCACCAAGGCUGUUAAAAUUUUGUAUACACGUAAAACAUAUUUUUAGUUUGAGAAAAACACAGUCGUUCCUUGGCGUUAGCGGAGUUCAUCAUCACGAGGUGGUUCGGCGUGACGUGAACUCUAACCAUACCUCAGGAGAUACCCUACGCGCCUCUCCAACCGAGGUACAUAUAUAUAUAUCCAGAGUCUAUGUCCCUCUAAUAGGCUAGUCCACAAAAUCCGCCCACUGCAACAAGCUAAACCCACCAUACAAUAAAAUUCAUUCUAGGAUGACAUGGCAAUUAUUGUAAUUCACAGCCUUUCAAGGCUAAAUACACAUUUCAUAUAUUUCAACAUAAAUACCAAUUCAGUCAUUCAUGCAAAUAUUAUCAUAAGCCAUUUAUUCAAAUCAUAAAUUUUUCAACAUAACAAGUGGUCUCCAAUUUCUCUAUUUUUCAAAAUCAUCAUUCAAUUUUAAAACAAUUUAUAACAUCUUUUCAUGUAGACACAUUUUGUUUGUAAAACUCAAGAUUUACCAUUUAAUUUCAUUUUCAUAAAAUUUCAUCAAAAUCGAUUAAAAACAUACUUUAGAUAAUAAAAAUGAUGGUAAGGUUACUCACCUCACAAUAGUGGGAUUUCUACGUCGCUAUUACUUCGUAUAUGCGUAUAAUUAUACCUAAUUGCCCAUCACCUACUUCGUUCAACACGUUUUCCUAGCAACCAUUUAAAUUCAAUACAUUUAGUGAAUCAAUUCUACUUUUCUCUCUCUCAUUCUAUCAUAAAUCCACUCACCUAAUUCGCAUCUUAAUAUAUUUUUACUAUAAUUAAUUGCAUCCUUCGUUCACGUAAUUCUUUAGAGUAUUAACACCAGUAACUUAUUUACGGUAUUAAGUGCCUAUUUCAACCUUCUAAGCAAUUUAAAUUUACUUCAUAUCACCAAUUAACCAAUGCAUAAUUAAAUAAAAUAAUUUAGCCUCCAUAUAAUCCAAUUUCAAAAUAAAUCAUGGUGAAGAGUAAAGAAAUUUUUACCCAAUUAAGCUAGGUUGGCCCAAAUCUUCACCUUCCUUUUCUUUUGGAUUUUUCUUCCUUUGUUGUUUUUGGACUCUUAUUCAUGGACUUCUCCCAUUUCUUUUUAAUUAGGUCAUGCCCAUUCUUCCUUUAUUGGACCAUGUCCAAUUUUCCUUGCUUGUUGGGCCAUGCCCAUUUUCCUUGUUAUUUUCUUUUCCUUUCUUUUCUUUUCUUUUCUUUUCUUUUCUUUUCUUUCUUUCUUUCUCUCCCACUGUCCAGAAGCCUUGUUGUCUUCCUUUUUCUUCUCUUCACAUGCACAAAUCGUCCACUCUCUUCCUUUCUCUCCCUCUCACCACCGGUCACACUUCCUAGCUUUUUAUCUCUCAAUUUUUCAAUAACUACAGCUGCUUAUUUUGGCUCCAAAAUCAGCAGCUAUGCUGCUCUGUUUUUCCUUAAAAUUUCAGUAUCUAAGUUGCACCUUUCCUUCAAAAAAAUUUGCAGCCAAAACAACCACAAUUAACCAUUAAAACAGCACCUUAAACCUUAAAUUUUCUGCUGCAAAAUUCUGCACUUUUUGGCCUCCAAAAUCAGCAGAAAAAUGGCACUUUCCAACCUCCAAAACCAGCAGAAAAAUAGCUCUUUCCAGCCUCCAAAAUCAGCCCUUAAAUGGCUCUCUUUCCCUUCUUGAAUGGUAGCAAAAACAACCCCUCAACUCAACUCUCUUUUCCUUUUGUUUUCUUUUCUCAUGCACGGUUUUCUUUUUGUUUUUCUUUCUCUCGGCUCUUUCUUCUUCCUUUGCUCUUUUAUUUCUCCUUUACUCUCCCUCAACCGACCUCUCUUUUCU
rnacentral:lncRNA from 1 species